AAGCCAUCGAAGCCGGCUCCCGCAAAUCCCUAUCGAUUCGAGCCCAAUCGAACCCGCCCGCCUCCUCCCUCCUCACGUCCCAACCCCCCUCAAGAACCUCGCCGCCGCCGCCGCCGCCGCCGGCCGUUGUCUCCCCCCGACCGGCCUCCAUGGCUCGCAACGAGGAGAAGGCGCAGUCGAUGCUGAACCGCUUCAUCACGAUGAAGCAGGAGGAGAAGCGCAAGCCCCGCGAGCGCCGGCCCUACCUCGCAUCCGAAUGCCGCGACCUCGCCGACGCCGAGCGCUGGCGCUCCGAGAUCCUCCGCGAGAUUGGUGCCAAGGUCGCCGAGAUCCAGAACGAGGGCCUCGGCGAGCACCGCCUCCGCGACCUCAACGACGAGAUCAACAAGCUCCUCCGCGAGCGCGGCCACUGGGAGCGACGCAUCGUCGAGCUUGGCGGCCGCGACUACUCCCGCAGCUCCAACGCGCCGCUCAUGACCGACCUCGAUGGCAACAUCGUCGCCGUCCCCAACCCCUCCGGCCGUGGCCCCGGGUACCGCUACUUCGGCGCCGCCAGGAAGCUCCCCGGCGUGCGCGAGCUCUUCGAAAAGCCACCUGAGAUACGCAAGCGCCGCACCCGCUACGAGAUCCACAAGCGCAUCAACGCCGGCUACUACGGGUACUACGACGACGAGGACGGCGUGCUGGAGCCCCUCGAGGCCACCGCCGAGAAGCGCAUGCGGACGGAGAUCGUCAAUGAGUGGCACCGCGUGGAGAGGGUGCGGCGGGAAGCCAUGAAGGGGGUGGUGAGCGGCAAGGUGGCUGCGGCAGGUGGGCGCGGUGGGGAGGCUGCUAGGGAGGUGCUGUUUGAAGGGGUGGAGGAGGAGGUCGAGGAGGAGAGGAAGUACGAGGAAGAGAAAAGGGAAAGAGAGAAGGGGGAGGAGGCUGGGAGGGAAUUUGUUGCACAUGUGCCGCUACCCGAUGAGAAGGAGAUUGAGCGGAUGGUCUUAGAGAGGAAGAAGAAGGAGCUGCUUAGCAAGUAUGCCAGCGAUUCCCUGCAGGUCGAGCAGGAAGAGGCCAAGGAGAUGCUCAAUGUGCGACGCUAGAAGAGACGGUCCGUUCUUGAUUUCCAUGUCUUCGAUGAAUUUUUAUAGCUGAUGUAGUACGCUUGACUAAAGUACUGUAGGUUGGUCAACUGCCUCAUCGGUGGAUUCUUCAUGAUCUGGAGGCGAGCACCGGAGUGCACCAAGGAACAAUCUUUGCAGUUCUGGCCUCGACGCAACCCUAGAAGACAUUUGAUGUAAAAGAAAACUUAGGGUUUGUCUGGAUUACAUCGGUGUGUGUAAUCAGCUUUGAUGGGUGAUGGUUGGGUGGCAAGUCGAUAAACGUUAAACCUGCGGUUUGUGUACUGUAACUUUUAUCAUGUACAAACCAUUCCCUACACUGAUUGAUCUAUUAAAAUUUCAGUGAUA